UGCCUCAGUAACGGCGAGUGAAGCGGCAACAGCUCAAAUUUGAAAUCUGGCGGCCUCUGGGCCGUCCGAGUUGUAAUUUGAAGAGGAUGCUUUUGGCGAGGCGCCUUCCGAGUGCCCUGGAACGGGACGCCACAGAGGGUGAGAGCCCCGUAUGGUUGGACGCCGAGCCUCUGUAAAGCUCCUUCGACGAGUCGAGUAGUUUGGGAAUGCUGCUCAAAAUGGGAGGUAAACCCCUUCUAAAGCUAAAUACUGGCCAGAGACCGAUAGCGCACAAGUAGAGUGAUCGAAAGAUGAAAAGCACUUUGAAAAGAGAGUUAAACAGCACGUGAAAUUGUUGAAAGGGAAGCGCUUGCGACCAGACUUGUGCCCGUCGAAUCAGCCGCCGCUCGUCGGCGGCGCACUUCGGCGGGCUCAGGCCAGCAUCAGUUCGCUGCAGGGGGAGAAAGGCGAUGGGAAUGUGGCUCUUCGGAGUGUUAUAGCCCGCCGCGCAAUACCCCUCGGCGGACUGAGGACCGCGCAUCUGCAAGGAUGCUGGCGUAAUGGUCGUCAGCGACCCGUCUUGAAACACGGACCAAGGAGUCGUCCUAAUAUGCGAGUGUUCGGGUGUAAAACCCCUGCGCGUAAUGAAAGUGAACGGAGGUGAGAGCUUCGGCGCAUCAUCGACCGAUCCUGAUGUUCUCGGAUGGAUUUGAGUAAGAGCAUAUUGGGCCGGACCCGAAAGAAGGUGAACUAUGCCUGUAUAGGGUAAAGCCAGAGGAAACUCUGGUGGAGGCUCGCAGCGGUUCUGACGUGCAAAUCGAUCGUCAAAUAUGGGCAUGGGGGCGAAAGACUAAUCGAACCUUCUAGUAGCUGGUUUCCGCCGAAGUUUCCCUCAGGAUAGCAGUGUUGAAUUUCUCAGUUUUAUGAGGUAAAGCGAAUGAUUAGGGACUCGGGGGCGCUAUUAAGCCUUCAUCCAUUCUCAAACUUUAAAUAUGUAAGAAGCUCUUGUUACUUAACUGAACGUGGGCAUUCGAAUGUAUCAACACUAGUGGGCCAUUUUUGGUAAGCAGAACUGGCGAUGCGGGAUGAACCGAUCGCGGGGAUAAGGUGCCGGAGUGGACGCUCAUCAGACACCACAAAAGGUGUUAUCACAUCUUGACAGCAGGACGGUGGCCAUGGAAGUCGGAAUCCGCUAAGGACUGUGUAACAACUCACCUGCCGAAUGUGAUAGCCCUGAAAAUGGAUGGCGCUCAAGCGUCCCACCCAUACCCCGCCCUCAGGGUAGACACUAUGCCCUGAGGAGUAGGCGGACGUGGAG
rnacentral:rRNA from 1 species